rnacentral:lncRNA from 1 species
GAAAGAUGCAUCAUCCAAAUAACCCUUUAAGAGAGACUUGCUGUUCCAGCUAUCAGCAGACUGCUUUCAGAUCUCAGCUCUUCAGGCCUUGCCUCAGUCUGGCCCAUCCAGAAACCAGAUGGAUCCUGGAGGUUAUCACCAACUCAGACAGGCAGCAGCACUCACUGCUGGGAUAGCUAGGUAUUGUUUGCUAGAACAGAUUGUUAAGGACUUGGGUGUGGAAAAGCAGCUUUGAUUUGGUGAGUGCAUUUGUUUGUAUUAUUAUCAGAAAGGAGAAUAAUUAGAAACAAUUCUUAUUUACAUGGAAUAUGUAAUAAUGCAGAUGUACAGUUUU